UAGGGAAUCUUCCGCAAUGGACGAAAGUCUGACGGAGCAACGCCGCGUGAGUGAAGAAGGCUUUCGGUUCGUAAAACUCUGUUGUUAGGGAAGAAAAAAUGUAUAGUAACUAUAUACAAAAGAGACGGUACCUAACCAGAAAGCCACGGCUAACUACGUGCCAGCAGCCGCGGUAAUACGUAGGUGGCAAGCGUUGUCCGGAAUUAUUGGGCGUAAAGCGCGCGCAGGUGGUUUAGAAAGUCUGAUGUGAAAGCCCACGGCUCAACCGUGGAGGGUCAGUGGAAACUAAUAAACUUGAGUGCAGGAGAGAAAAGUGGAAUUCCUAGUGUAGCGGUGAAAUGCGUAGAGAUUAGGAGGAACACCGGUGGCGAAAGCGGCUUUUUGGCCUGCAACUGACACUGAGGCGCGAAAGCGUGGGGAGCAAACAGG
rnacentral:rRNA from 1 species